rnacentral:sRNA from 1 species
CCGCUGAACUUAAGCAUAUCAAUAAGCGGAGGAAAAGAAACUAACAAGGAUUCCCCUAGUAACGGCGAGUGAAGCGGGAUGAGCUCAAAUUUGUAAUCUGGUGGACUCAGUUCAUCCGAGUUGUAAUCUAUAGAAAAGUUUUCCGCGCCGGACCGUGUCUAAGUCCCUUGGAACAGGGUGUCAGAGAGGGUGAGAAUCCCGUGCUUGAUACGACCACCGGUGCUAUGUGAUACUUUUUCAACGAGUCGAGUUGUUUGGGAAUGCAGCUCAAAAUGGGUGGUAAAUUCCAUCUAAAGCUAAAUAUUGGCGAGAGACCGAUAGCGAACAAGUACCGUGAGGGAAAGAUGAAAAGCACUUUGGAAAGAGAGUUAAACAGUACGUGAAAUUGUUAAAAGGGAAACGAUUGAAGUCAGUCGUGCUCUCUGGGACUCAGCCGGUUCUUCCGGUGUAUUUCCCAGUGAGCGGGUCAACAUCAGUUUAGAUCGCUGGAUAAGGUCAUUAGGAAUGUGGCUCCCUCGGGAGUGUUAUAGCCUAGUGUCGCAUACAGUGGUUUAGACUGAGGAACGCAGCUCGCCUUUAUGGCCGGGGUUCGCCC